GACAGAGGGUGCAAACGUUGUUCGGAAUUACUGGGCGUAAAGGGCUCGUAGGCGGCCAACUAAGUCAGACGUGAAAUCCCUCAGCUUAACUGGGGAACUGCGUCUGAUACUGGAUGGCUUGGAUCCGGAAGAGGGAUGCGGAAUUCCAGGUGUAGCGGUGAAAUGCGUAGAUAUCUGGAGGAACACCGGUGGCGAAGGCGGCAUCCUGGGCCGGUAUUGACGCUGAGGAGCGAAAGCCAGGGGGAGCAAACGGG
rnacentral:rRNA from 1 species